CACUCCUACGGGAGGCAGCAGUGGGGAAUUUUGGACAAUGGGCGAAAGCCUGAUCCAGCAAUGCCGCGUGAGUGAAGAAGGCCUUCGGGUUGUAAAGCUCUUUUGUCAGGGAAGAAACGGUGAAAGCUAAUAUCUUUUGCUAAUGACGGUACCUGAAGAAUAAGCACCGGCUAACUACGUGCCAGCAGCCGCGGUAAUACGUAGGGUGCAAGCGUUAAUCGGAAUUACUGGGCGUAAAGCGUGCGCAGGCGGUUUUGUAAGUCUGAUGUGAAAUCCCCGGGCUCAACCUGGGAAUUGCAUUGGAGACUGCAAGGCUAGAAUCUGGCAGAGGGGGGUAGAAUUCCACGUGUAGCAGUGAAAUGCGUAGAUAUGUGGAGGAACACCGAUGGCGAAGGCAGCCCCCUGGGUCAAGAUUGACGCUCAUGCACGAAAGCGUGGGGAGCAAACAGGAUUAGAAACCCCUGUAGUCCC
rnacentral:rRNA from 1 species